rnacentral:lncRNA from 1 species
UCAGAACUUUGUUCAUGGGAAGCCGUAUUGGGAAAAACUGUGAAGAUGCUUUUCUGUUAUUUACUUCUGGUUCAAAGUACUGAUGCAAGAACUGCAUCCUGCUGUGGGCCGAGGACAGAAGACGACUUCUAACAGGCCUGUCCGCAUAUCUGCAGGUCACAUCGGAGAGCUGUAGGCGAGCGGAGGCUCCCAGACACUUUGCAGACCGCUCUGUGUGUGUUGCUGAUGCACACGUGCUUUGUACACACGCACAGGUAGAUAGAUGCAAAGCUCUGGGCGGUCCAAAGCUCUGUCGCUGCUCACAGCCUCUGUAGCUGGGCAAGCUCUGCAGAAGUGAACCCUCUGCAUCUCGCUCCAGUGUGCGCUGGGCUACCGUGAACGCACUAUUUCCAUUUGCAACCCGGGAGCGUUGCCGGAGCGCACAAAACGCGUGCACGCUUGCCGGCAAAUAAGCGCAAUAGUUCGUAAUGCAGCACCCACCCCCUGCCUGUGUAUCUGCUCUGACAUCAGAAAUGGAAAGCGAUGCCCCCCCCACCCCGCCUCCGGCCUCGCAGAAGGAGAAGCCCAAGCGAUAUCGCUCGUGGCCAAAGGCAGAACCAGAAGGGGAACGCGACCUGGCUUAAACUCACGUUCACAGCCAAGCACACCCAUUUCUAAACAGCGCGACCUGGACCUGAUGCUGAAAGGAUGCACAACGCUCUGUCUAAACCCUGUGGUCUCUAAGCAAUAUCUACUUUUUAAUUUAGAGCAAAAAGCAGCUGUUACUGUCACCGCGGCUUCGCUGCUGCAAACGAUUGCCUCUACGCAUGGAUUACAUAUAUAUUGUUGUUACCUACAGGACUCCAAAACAGUUUUCCUUGAGGGCUUAUAUUUCCAGAGCUGUCAAUCCAACACCUUUCACCAGUGCCAAAUUCAUUUACAAGGAGAGAGAGAGAGAAGAGAAAAAAAAGCUUUAAAAAAUAAAUAAUCAAGCCACAUUAAAUAACCAUUUGGGAGACCAUCAGCCUCCCAGACUCGCUUGGCUGAACUUGAUAUUAAUUAUGCUAAAUCCAAAAGCAGCACCUUCCCCAGGAGUCCGCUGGAAAGCUCUCGCUGUUCCCCCCCAUGGCUGCAGUUUCCAAGGGCUUUGACGUAAUUAAGGCUUAUAAUCUUUAGCAGCUGCCGGAUUCGCUCGGCGCGUCCCCUCGCCUUCAUCAGAGCUGCCGAGGAGCACCGUCCCCUCUCCUUCUGCCAUCGCUUCUUCGAGGAGCGUGCCUUUACAGGAGCAAAAAGUAGGUGAUGGAGAGCUCGAGCUGCUCUAGGUAGACUCUCGCUGCUGCCACCGGUCAGCCGGGGGGGGAGAGUCCGCUUGCGGGGCCAGCUUGCCGGAUCGGAGUUGGCUGGGACGCGUUUGGCACCGACCUUGUUGUGUAAUCGGGCGUCUCUUAAAACAAAAAGAGGAAAAAAGCCUGUGGGAACGUGUCAGUUUGCUGGCUGGGCCGGAUGAUGGAUCCUCGAGGAAGUUUCGUCUGCGUGACUCCCCGAGCGCCCGGCAGCCCGUUUCGGGGGGUCGGCGGGUGCCGGGCCCCGUCCGCCUGGCCGGCUCCCGAGCACCGAGAUUUCGGCGAGGGCAGGACGCGGGGCUGCGACCAGCGGCACGUCGGCCGGGCUGCCUAAGGGG